UAGUGCCAAUGUUGCUGAUAUUAGAAGGGUCCAGAUUGUUAGAUGGUUAAAACCUACGUUUCCUUUUGUUAAACUCAAUACUGAUGGCUCUGUUGGUGUUAAUUCUGCAGGUAUUGGUGGUAUUAUCCGUGAUCAUUUUGGUGAUCCUGUGGAGGUUUUCUCUAGGCCCUUGAAUCUUUGUUCUGUGUUAUCUAUUGAACUGUUAAGCUUAAAUUGUGGGUUAGAUCUCUGCAGAAGGUUGGGUUACCAGCAUAUCAACAUUGAGGACUUUUUGGACGUUGGGGUUUUUGAGCUUCAAUCAGUGUUUUUCGGCUUGCUGGUGUUGGUUGCAAGAUAAAUUUUUUUGUGAGGAAGAUGAUGCUGCUGCUUUGAUCUGAAUCGUUCUUUUUUGGGUACCGGCUCCUUGCCGCCCUCACUUGUUAUUAGGUUAUCUUGUAUUUUUUCUUAGUGGGAAUUAUCGGCUAUUAGGUUUUUUA